GCGGAGCGGGGAGCCCGGCGCAGGCCGGCGGCGCCUCCCGGGUGCAGGCGACAAGCACCUCGUUCCCGGCCGAAGCGUUCAAAGCCCAAGAACGAAAUAAAACAACGAAUAUUGCGACCGAGACAAGAUAACCCGAACAGUACGACUGUUCUCUGAGAAGCCCCGCGAUGAGCUGGGGCGGGCGCGCGGACCACCUGCCUCCCCCCCCCCGCCCCGGGGUUUCUACCUUCUGCACCUUCUGUGGUUGCAGCCACUGGACUCACGGCCGCUCCCACCUGUUCGGCUUCGGGCCGAAAGCACGAGACGAGACGAACAUCUCUUGGGGGAUACGGUAGAUCUUACUAACGGGCAUCCUUGGAGGGUCCCCUUCUGCUGGGGGCUUCUGUGAUGGGAGGCACCGAAGUCGUUUCUUUUUUUUUUUUUUCUUUUCUUUUUUUUUUUUUUUAAUUUUCAAACCGAGUCUCUGAACGCAUAACUGUGUGUUGGUUCACAUUCGGGAAGUAUUUGUUCAACGUUAAGUCCGGCUUGCGCAGUCCUUCGGUGUGAUUUGUUUUCUUCAACAACAGAAGGCACUAUGCAUCCGAGGCUUGGCUGGACCCGUGCCUCUAGACUUGAAGGAAGAGGAGCUGAAGUCUCCACUAUGCUCCUUACAAAGCACAGAAGGACCUGGCCCGAGCCCAACACCUUUGUCAGGGUGCAGAAAAGCUCAGUGCCUGGGGCCUUGUGUUAUGUGGCUCAUGCAGUUCUUGUGCGGUGCCCAGGCAGCAGGCUCGGGUGAUCACCUGGUGGGACCCCUUCUCUCCAUGACUGUCACAUGGACAGGGCACAGGUCCUGGCUGCUGUGUCCCCUGCUCCACCAUGGGGCCUCACACACGGACCGCUUGCUGAGUAAAUGCUUGCUGGCGUGCUUUGUUAUUAAUUGGUGA
rnacentral:lncRNA from 1 species